CAGACGACGCUAAAAUCAGUGAGCUGGUUUCCAAAUGCUUGCAAGCUCGGGAUAUGGCGUAUUGCCCCUACAGUUGUAAUGUUGAAAAUGCCUCAUAUGGGCUCACAGUGUGCGCAGAGCGAACAGCAAUACAAAGAGCAAUAGUAGAGGGACACAGACAAUUCACAGCCAUUGCAGUUACAUGCGACAUCAAAGAUAGUUUUGUUGGGCCG